UGGCGGUGUUUUAUUCUCGUUAGAGGAACCUGUUAUAUAAAAGAUUUUACACUAUAGGCUACUUUUAAUAAUCUUAUAUAUCGUUGUCUUAAGAAUUAAUUAAAAGUUUUUUCGGUGUUUUAAAUAAAGUAACGUCAAAUCAAGGUGUAGAGUUUAAAAGUUUAAAUGGGUUACAGUUAUUUAAAUAAUUUACUGGUGUGAAAUUGAUUAAACUAGUAAAUUGGAUUUAAAAGUAAUAUUUUAGUUUACAAAAUUUAAAUUGAGCUCUGAAAC
rnacentral:rRNA from 1 species